AGAGUUUGAUCAUGGCUCAGGAUGAACGCUGGCGGCGUGCCUAACACAUGCAAGUCGAGCGAUUCUCUUCGGAGAAGAGCGGCGGACGGGUGAGUAACGCGUGGGUAACCUGCCCUGUACACACGGAUAACAUACCGAAAGGUAUGCUAAUACGAGAUAAUAUACUUUUAUCGCAUGGUAGAAGUAUCAAAGCUUUUGCGGUACAGGAUGGACCCGCGUCUGAUUAGCUAGUUGGUAAGGUAACGGCUCACCAAGGCGACGAUCAGUAGCCGACCUGAGAGGGUGAUCGGCCACAUUGGAACUGAGACACGGUCCAAACUCCCACGGGAGGCAGCAGUGGGGAAUAUUGCACAAUGGGCGAAAGCCUGAUGCAGCAACGCCGCGUGAGCGAUGAAGGCCUUCGGGUCGUAAAGCUCUGUCCUCAAGGAAGAUAAUGACGGUACUUGAGGAGGAAGCCCCGGCUAACUACGUGCCAGCAGCCGCGGUAAUACGUAGGGGGCUAGCGUUAUCCGGAAUUACUGGGCGUAAAGGGUGCGUAGGUGGUUUCUUAAGUCAGAGGUGAAAGGCUACGGCUCAACCGUAGUAAGCCUUUGAAACUGGGAAACUUGAGUGCAGGAGAGGAGAGUGGAAUUCCUAGUGUAGCGGUGAAAUGCGUAGAUAUUAGGAGGAACACCAGUUGCGAAGGCGGCUCUCUGGACUGUAACUGACACUGAGGCACGAAAGCGUGGGGAGCAAACAGGAUUAGAUACCCUGGUAGUCCACGCCGUAAACGAUGAGUACUAGCUGUCGGAGGUUACCCCCUUCGGUGGCGCAGCUAACGCAUUAAGUACUCCGCCUGGGAAGUACGCUCGCAAGAGUGAAACUCAAAUGAAUUGACGG
rnacentral:rRNA from 1 species